UCUUAACCCACAGGACAGGGUCGAAGAGAGACUGCCUUUGGGUUCCUGGACACCCAAUGAUACAUCCAUCCAUUUUCUGUGAAGUUCUGAAGUUCACUUUUUAGUUCUUGUGGCAAAAUGUUUAUGUUAAUUCUCAUACCAAGUGGGAACAAAUUCAAUCGGGUUUUGUGAAAGAGAGUGAAAUGAUGAAAGCGAAGCAUCCUUUCUCCCUUUGGCCAAGAGAGCUAUAUACUGAGUGUGGAAUCAUCCCUAGAGAGAACUGUCGGCCAUCAACAAAGCUGAAAGGAGUUGGAGAUCUGAAGAGUGAUUUGACAUCAGACACGGAGAUGCAGAGUUUGGACUUUAUCCUGCUGGUUUUUAUCUUGCUUUGGUCCUGUACUAUGCCCUUUUCCACCCUUUAGAAAGAUCACCACGAUGUAGCCCUCAGGUUCUGUUCCAGCACCUUGCUUGCCACAAUGAUCCUUGCCAUGAUGAUAGCGGACUGACUCUCUGAAUCUGCAAGCAAGUACCUAAUUAAAUGCUUUCUUUUACUGGG